rnacentral:rRNA from 1 species
AUGUCUCCGGAAUAUGCAAUGGAAGGCCUCUUUUCUGUUAUGUCUGAUGUCUAUAGCUUUGGAGUGUUGCUUUUGGAAACUGCAUGGAGUCUAUGGAGGGAAGGGCUAGCAAUGGAUGUGGUGGAUCCAUCAGUUUCAGAGAGCUGCUCGAAUGAAGAGGUUUUGUGUUGCAUUCAUGUUGGGCUCUUGUGUGUUCAGGAUGAUCCGGAUGCCAGACCAGUCAUGUCAACCGUUGUAUCAACCUUGGAGAGUAGAAGCACACCACUUGCAAGGCCUGAUAAGCCACUGUAUUUUUCUCAGAGGAAUAAGGUAUAG